CACAGUGUGGGUGCACAUCCUUUCUAGGAGGGUCUCUCACCUUCUCUUGGUGGGUCAGCUUUGUGACCGUUAAGUAAAUCCUUUGGAAUGUACAGAGAGCUACUUUCCUACCAACCAGAAAGCUGAGAGUGUGGGCAGAUGGCAACUGAGACCUGAGGCAGAGGCAUCCCCACUGUUCUUUGACCUGACUACGCAGUGUUUCCACCAAUGAGUUUGAAAAGGAUCUCGAUUCGCGGCUGUCUCUGUUCCAUUGCUAUAAAAAAUUUUGUGAAACUGCUUCCACAUUGAACAUACAAUUUUGUGAUUUUGUGUUCCCUGGCCACUGUCGAUCAUAU
rnacentral:lncRNA from 1 species